CAGAGGGAGAAGGGCAAGGUCAGGUUUGUUUCAGAAAGGUGGUGCUGGUGAGCUACAGUACCAGCACUGUAUUCUAGCAGAAAUAACAUCCAGGGGCCAGUGGCAAAGACAGGAGCACAGGUGGGGUCAACUUCCCCCCAAAUGGCACCUUCGUUGGGGAUUGGAUCUGCUCAAAAAUCUUCAUGUGAAGAGGGGAACAGGGCCAUGGACGGACAAACAUCCACUAAGAGGCAGAGGCUCCCACACCACCAGCUAAGUUCCACGCCCCACGGGACUGUUUCCAUCUGUAGGCGAAAUGAAAUUCCACCUGGCUACACAAGCCUGAAACUUGGAAGGCAUCGUUCACUCCUCCCUUUCUCAUUUAUCACCACCAGUCAAUUAACUCCUGUGGAUCACACCUCUUAGCUACCUCUUACAAAAGGUCACCUCUUGGCUUUUUAUUUGCCCACGUAAUAAGGAAAUCCCAGCUCCUCCCCUGCCCCAACACACACCUCACAAGGGUCACAACCUCAGGGCCUUUACCUGUUCUCCAUCUUUACCUCUGAAACCCAGCAGAGUGGGUGGGAUAUACAGUUAGCAGUGGCUACGUAUUUGUGGAAUCAAUAUUUCUUUGUAAAAACUUGCAACAAUCAAGUCCAGUUGAACUUCAUCUGUGCUUGCUUCCCUGCCCCAGAGAUAAUCACGGCCAUCAGUAGUUUCUAGACAUUUGCAUGUAGAAAUAUAUGGUUUUAGUUUUUACUGAAAUGGGAUAAUAACUGCACAUGUUAUUCAGCAACUACUUUUCCCACCUAAUGUCUUGGAGAUCUAGGACAGUUCAUUUGGAUCUCUUUGUUCCUUUUUAUCUACAGCAUAGUAUUCUACUUGGUCAUCUCUGUGAAUUCAUGUAAUCAUUCUACUAUGGACAUUCAUUUAAUUAGAUGUGUUGACUCAAAGGGUAUCUGUCCAGGUUUACUAGAUACUGUCAAAUUUCCCUCCAACAAUGCUGUACCUGAGGAAUUAGCUUCUUGUUCUCCAUACAUGGUCACUAACAAAGUCUAAGCCCACACUAUUUCUAGCUAGGAGUCUAGCACAUCUCCCAACUGCUUCCAAUCUACUUUCCACACUGCCUAGAACAACUUUUUUUUAAAAAUUAAGUCUAAUGUCACUUCCCUCUUUAAAACCUUUUAAUAGCUUUCCAGAUCCUUUAGGAUAACAUCUAGAAUCCUUUACAUCUCCUAAGUUCUGCUGUCAUGUGGUUCUUGCCUAUCUGUCCUUUCCAGACUCAACCGCUAUCAUGUCUCCUUCCCUCACCCACUUUCUCCACCAACAGUUCUCAAACUAUCCCACGGGAUGACCCUGAGAGUCUGUAAAGAUGUGUUCAUGAGUAGUUUUAAAGGAACGUGACUUUCGGAUGCUUAACUUUCCUAAAGCUGGUCUAUGAAGACUCCUGGAAGGCCAGACCCACCUUGCGUGUCAUGAUGGCUCCACCCACCUGGCCCACCUCCAAUCUUACUAUAUGGUGCUACAGGGAGGUGGAAAGGUGUAACUUGAGGAUGGCAAAAGACAAUUUAAACUUUCUUUUAAUGAAGGCAUCAUUAAGGCACGCAUUGCCAAUAAAACUUUUUUAUUUGCAAUAAUUACCA
rnacentral:lncRNA from 1 species